CCUCCCUCCGUCGGUCUGUCCGGCCGGCCCCUUUGUCUGUCCACAGCCCCGCCCGGCCCAGCAGUGGAGCCGGUGAGCCCUCUGCCGAGGGAAGGACCCCUCUGCUCCUGGGCCAGGGAAUCAUGUCCCGUCGGAAACAGACCACUCCUAAUAAAGUGCAUUUGAACAGGAUCUUCUAUUUCUGCAAUAUCUGAUUCUAUCACCAUGUCUCAGAGGAGACCAUCAUAUGAACAUGCUGCCAGCUGGUGUGAAGCUAACAUACAGGCUCCGGUAUCCAUCUAGGGAGAGGUGCUCUGAUACCAAUUGAACUUCUUCACACACAACACGUUAAUGUAUGACCAGGUAUCUGAGCAGCUGUUUGACGUAGGCAUCACCAGGAGAAGCAAGUGGUGCCACAAGAAGAAAAAGGGACUGAAAGGCCUAUGCAACAUGACCCAGGACAAUAACAGUCUCUCCAGCUCAGGAUGGAAAACUGACCCCUUUUAUAAUGAGCGGCACCGAACUGUUGGGACUCACCCAUCCACCCAGCCUGCAGAGAGCCCAGGAGUGCCAUGCAGAGCACUUGUGACGGACAAGGAGCAUCAGCUCCAAGAACUGGGUGAACUGUCAGUAUGAGGAGUCAGAAUGGGAGACGACAGGCGUAUUACAGGGAUCUCUUCCUGGGGACGGAGAUAGUUUGGGAGGAGGAGGAAUUGGGCCACAGUGCCUUUACAGCCAUAUGGACAUGCCCGAACAGGGAUGGGCAGGUGCAUUAGCUCCCCGGUGAGCAAGUUUCAGGUCCUGGAAAAGGAAGUGCGGAGAAGACCUGUGUGAACAGGGACUCUGGCCCCUCCUUGAACUUGUACAAGUAUUUAAAGAGGCUCCUCUCAGAACCCGUGUAGGCUGAGCAGGACAGGGGACUUAUGUAAGGCUUUUGCCAGAGCGCGAGAGAUGUGAAUGGAGGAGGCAGGGCCCAGAGGGGCAGGGCUCAGGAAAAACUGCCUGCCAAGUUGGCACCAUCUGGUCUUGGCAGCCAUGCCUUCCCCUCCUGCCCAACACCACUGGGGCCCUGUACCACCACAGCCAUUCUCAGGCACCCCACUCUUUUACAAGACUGUGGAAAGGAGAACUGGCGCCCAAAAGCAAGGCACUAUCAGGAACCUCAGCAUGCUCGCUCUAGCCGGUUGUGGUGUAACUCUGGUGACUUGUUUUAGUAUUGCAGCAGACCUGCAGCCUUGUUUGUAUUUAAUAAAGUUGUGG